UUUUCUUUUCCUCUCCAGAGGGGCCGAUUAGGGAGAGGCGUGUCUCUCUGUGACCCGAGUUUGGCCAACAGGCAUUUUCAGUUCCACCCCCAACCCCCAGCCCCGCUGACCCGAGGCGGAGAGCAGGCGCGGAGGUCGCUGUCGCGUACCCAGCGGAGCCGGGCGGGCGGGGAGCAGGGGCGCUGAUUCGCUGGAGAAGGGAUCUUCUCGAGGUUUGACUUUACUGGCUUCUUAGCUCUUGAAUCGGUUUUUCUGAAGGAGAUUGUGAAGAAGCCAAGGUGCUGGCUGAAGAUUACACCUGUCUGCUCGGUUACCCAUUUACUCUGGAGAAUUAAUGCUUAUUGUACUUUUUAAAAUAAAACUUAUUUUUGUGUUUCCGGAAA
rnacentral:lncRNA from 1 species